rnacentral:rRNA from 1 species
AGCAGCCGCGGUAAUUCCAGCUCCAAUAGCGUAUAUUAAAGUUGUUGCAGUUAAAAAGCUCGUAGUUGAAUUUCGGGAUCAAAUUGUCGGUCGUGCCUCGGUACGUACUGGUAUUAUUGGUUCCUCCCUUCUGACGAACCACGAUGUCAUUAAUUUGGUGUCAUGGGAAAUCAGGACUGUUACUUUGAAAAAAUUAGAGUGUUUAAAGCAGGCUCGCGCUUGAAUACAUUAGCAUGGAAUAAUGAAAUAGGACGUUUGACUCUAUUUUGUUGGUUUCUAGGGUCGACGUAAUGAUUAAUAGGGAUAGUUGGGGGCAUUAGUAUUCAAUUGUCAGAGGUGAAAUUCUUGGAUUUAUUGAAGACUAACUACUGCGAAAGCAUUUGCCAAGGAUGUUUUCAUUAAUCAAGAACGAAGUUAGGGAUCGAAGACGAUCAGAUACCGUCGUAGUCUUAACCAUAAACUAUGACCGACUAGGGAUCGGAUGAUGUUAAUUUUUAANGUACUUCAUUCGGCGCCUUAC